CCUCGUCGCUGAAGGAGAGGUUGGGGUAGGCUCCGCCCACCGUGCUGAUGGUCUUGGGUUCCUGGCGCCGCCGCCCGGACCUGCCUCGCUGCCUGCGGAGGGGAGGAGCUUCGUUCAUUAGAUAAUGAUAAUGGCGCCGUCGGUGCCGUCGGAGACUCACCGCCUGUAGGCGAGGAAUCCCGCAGCAAUGAGAAUGAGGCCCAGCAGCGCCCCCAGGAUCCCGACGGCCACUUGGUACCCAACGGUGUUCGGACCCUCGGGCUGCGGCGGGUCGAAGGCGUCCCUCUCUUCGAAGGAGCUCGCCUCCUGGUUGGUGUUUCCUUCGGUCAGUUUCCUACAAGAAGAUAAGGAACAGGAGUUUGAAUAUAUGGAAAGUCAAUGGAGCACGUAGAUACAAGAUGCUCUCAUCAUCCUAAAAUUCCAGUGUGCAAAAACAUAUAAGCUGUAUAUGAAUAAAAUCAACAAUGUUUUA